rnacentral:rRNA from 2 species
UGGGGGAUAUUGCACAAUGGGGGAAACCCUGAUGCAGCGACGCCGCGUGGAGGAAGAAGGUUUUCGGAUUGUAAACUCCUGUCGUUAGGGACGAUAAUGACGGUACCUAACAAGAAAGCACCGGCUAACUACGUGCCAGCAGCCGCGGUAAAACGUAGGGUGCAAGCGUUGUCCGGAAUUACUGGGUGUAAAGGGAGCGCAGGCGGACCGGCAAGUUGGAAGUGAAAACUAUGGGCUCAACCCAUAAAUUGCUUUCAAAACUGCUGGCCUUGAGUAGUGCAGAGGUAGGUGGAAUUCCCGGUGUAGCGGUGGAAUGCGUAGAUAUCGGGAGGAACACCAGUGGCGAAGGCGACCUACUGGGCACCAACUGACGCUGAGGCUCGAAAGCAUGGGUAGCAAACA